rnacentral:rRNA from 1 species
CCUUUUGCUACUGGAUAGCCCAGAGAAAUUUGGAUUAACACAGUAUAGUAUCAUAUUACUGCAUGGUAUUUAUGAUUAAAGGCUACGGCAAAAGAUGAGCAUGCGUCCUAUUAGCUAGUUGGUGUGGUAACGGCAUACCAAGGCAACGAUAGGUAGGGGCCCUGAGAGGGGGAUCCCCCACACUGGUACUGAGACACGGACCAGACUCCUACGGGAGGCAGCAGUGAGGAAUAUUGGACAAUGGAGGCAACUCUGAUCCAGCCAUGCCGCGUGCAGGAUGACUGCCCUAUGGGUUGUAAACUGCUUUUAUACAGGAAGAAACCGCUCUACGUGUAGAGCUCUGACGGUACUGUAAGAAUAAGGAUCGGCUAACUCCGUGCCAGCAGCCGCGGUAAUACGGAGGGAUCCAAGCGU